rfam:Oryza nivara chromosome 2, whole genome shotgun sequence.
GUCUCGUUGAGUCCUUUUUUUUUUUUCUUUUGACCGUCCGUCUUAUAUAAAAAAAAUAUAAAAAAAAAUUAAAAAGACAAGUCACGCAUAAAAUAUUAAUCAUGUUUUAUCAUUUAACAAAAAUGAAAAUACGAAUUAUAAAAAAAAUUCAUAUAAAACGGACAGUUAAAGUUGGACACGGAAACCUAUGGUUUGGCUUUUU